rnacentral:lncRNA from 1 species
GCUGCAGUAGGCCCGGAGCGAUGUGAGAAAUUCAGGUUUUCACGUCACACUGAGCGGAGGUUUUAGAAUUCCUCAGUGGCUAGAUUUCUCAGCCCACAGAUAACCUUGCUUCUUUCAAUCCAUCAUUCUUAUAAAUGCGAAAAGCCUCAAGAGAUAUCAGUCAGUUAGAAACAGUAACUCGGAUAAAGGGGAUCAUGACUCCAUUAUAAGUACUCACUCAGCCCGUGCUAAUAAGAGGACCUUUUGAAAAGUAUGCUCUGCUAAGUAUGCUUAGCUACGGCACGGUUCCUAUGCUAAAGUUUAAUGGAGGUGAAUUUGAGUUUAAAUUUGCAUGGAAAUUUUAAAUGGGACCCAGGAAGCACUAAGUGACUUAGAAAUGACCCAGAACCUUUGACUCAGAAACAGUAGAAAGGGAAGGAGAAAGAGCACUACAGACUGAAGGAGCGGAGGCUGUCCCCGCUGAUCACCAGUGAGUCACCUUGCUAAUAUUUGAUAUGGCUCCACUUCAAAAUUCUCCAAAUACUACCAAGAGGAAAGUCACCGCUUCCUGUUUGGUUUGGAAAUACAGCCCUGUGAAGGACCUGCCAGAUUGUGCCUCGCAUCUGUGCUCUGUUGAGUGGGUCUGCCUCAAGGCGGAAAUUCGGAGCUAACAGUAGCAUGUAUUCUUAUAAAAUAAACACCAAUUUAUCACACCCAACUUGACUUUUUCUUAGGAGACAUGAACAGAUGUCUCUGCCCCAGAUGGAGUUCUGAAUACAGAUCAAGGGAUAAUUCCAACCCAAAUCUAGUUUAGCAAACCAUUGGGCUUAUUUGGGGUACUUACAGGACCAUGGAUGAGGGAUUACUUAUAGGAGCCUGGUGGCUAGCAGGAGGGUACCUCACUGAAAAGCCCCACCGCAGCACGUGAUUUGUGAGGUCGUACGUACCUAUGGUACACAAACUGCAGACAGCUCAGCCAACUGGGGCCUUCUUAUUCCCCAACUGUUAGUGUUUAUGUAACUUUGGGGGAAGACUCUCAGUGGCUCUUCUCAUUCCCUGUGCUUCCUGGACCUUGUGUGUCGCUUGAAGCUUUCUAUUCCCUCUGAGAGGCCGUGUUUCAUCUCUCAGAAAACAACAGGUAACCCGCAGCAGCCUGGCCCUAGGGGCCUUCAUUCCCAGCCACCGCUUUGCAGUGCUCACCUUGGGUGUCCCUGCUCUACCCCAGUGAGGCCAUCAUGUUCCCUGUCAUGGGCCUUUGAGGAUCCCCUUGUCUAGUCAUUGCUGCUUGUUGAUCCUGUCCCAGGCCUCUUCAGCUUUGAAAGUCACACUUGCCAUGAAUUCGGCGGGCAUCUCAGGCUUUUGUUUUUCUUUGGGGAAUGAGGAAUUUCUAGCAAAGAAAACCUUGGCCAGACACAUCUGAUGACACUCAGUAUCUGAAGUGACCUGGGGCUGAGCUGUCCACCUCACUUUGAGACUAUUUUGGGGGGGUGAUAACAAGGACCAAGAGCUGAGCUUCAUUUCUGUGUCUUAGGUGUUGUAGCGUCCGCCUGGCCGUCCCUCACACCUGUUCUGUAGACCCCAGCAUCUGGGCAGGAUUUCCCUGUUUAUCAGAGGGGCCCAUGAUGAAAGGAUGCUGCACACAUAGAGAUGCGGCUCUCAGAAAUGGAUCUAAUUUCCAUCAAAGUACUCAGCAUCUUCAAGGGUUUUGUAAUUUCAAUGCCCUAUUUGAAAAUUCAUACAGUAGCCAUAAGUAUUAUCUGAAGGAGGACGUCGGCUCAGGUGAGAGCCUACAGAGAUCUAUGUACAAGUGGAAGCACGCACUGGUUUCAUGGCUCCCCCAGUUGCUUGCUGGUUUAAUGUCUAGCUGUACAUUCCAUAGAUGAAGCCAAUAUGUAACUGAAUAUCCCUCACAGCUCCCACUUGAUAUCUGACUCCUUGGGAAGCCGUAUAACCUUGGCUGUGAUAACUUGAUAUGGACAAAGAAGUGGCACUAAAUCCAUUUUCCACUUGCAGAACAUAUGCUUCAUGCUUUUCCAGUGUCGUUAAACUCCCGAAUAAUUUCUACACCGCGUGAGGCGGUGCUUAUGACGAACAUCUGUCAGAACGUGGCUAGGGUCACUCAGCGUGCCUCAUCUAUCCUAGCAGAAGAACUCUCAUCUCAAUUCACUUUUGACUGGGGGGUAGUUAGCGUUUAUGUAGUCACACUAGAUCUCCCCAUAGGGCCCAUCAGCUCCCAGGUCUCAGCCACAGAGCGUAUCUAUUCAUGUACUUAGGGAGCUAAGUCAGCUACCUUCAGAACCUGAGCAGCCGGCUCACCCUCUAAAACCUGUUCAAGGGGUGACCUUCUUCUCACCCGAUUGUGAGGUGACAGUCUUGAGAUUUUGCUGUCCUUAAUCAUUCGGCAUAGAACCUGUUAAAUGUUCUGUUUGUAUUAACUGUUGUUCUGCCAUAGGUUGAAAGUACAAUAGGUACUCAGCCCUGGAAAACCCUACCCACUAAAGGACCCAUGAUACCAUUACAGCAGCACGCAGGCAUCUCAGCAGCAGGGACUGCCAGCUCUGGCCGCUUUGGCUCAUGGCUAUUUUUUUUUUUUUUUAAUUUUAAGGAAACCUGACACUCAGCAGCCCCAGUGCGAACUACUGCUGGCCGCCCGGGUUUAUUUUUGAAGUUCCACUUUACUGAGUUAGAGCGCGUCUGCUCAUAGCUCUCCUCUUUAGUCGUCUCCUCACACACACCCUCGGCGCACAUUUGCGGCUUCCCAGCUCGAUGCUUGCAUCUUAAUUCUUCGCCCAAAAUAACUUGGGAGAGGAUCAUGUGUUGAAACUCAAACGGCACUGACACGUGCUAGAGGGAUGUAAUAAAAAGCUUUCCUUUUUAUAUAAAUUUUUUUUUAAGCGGAGCAUUUAGCAUCAUUAAGGGAACUGCGAAGAGAUGUGUCGUGAGGGAGGGGGAGAAGAGACAGAGGGAGCUGAGCUCAAACCCGAAGAGAUUGGAUUAUUCCCCAAUUUAACAGUGAACUUGCUGUAGGUUGCCAUCUAAGGUUUUGCUGCAGGUUGCCCCUUUCUUAGAUUAACAAUAAUGUUCAGAGCUUUCUGAGUGAACACCUCCAAAAUGAGAAAUAAACUGAGUAGAAGCCCUUGUGUCCUGUAGACCUUCCUCCUUGAUGGAUCACAAGCCACACUUCUGCAAGCUCAUGGAGGUAGGCUCAAAUUGGGUUAGCAGAGAUGCAGUUUGUAAAGAUGCUCUCAAAAACCAUCUGUCUGGAUUUGAGGGAUGUUGCGAGCCGGGAUUUUUUUUUUUUUUUUUUUUUUUUUUGAAAUUCUUCCACCAUCUCAGCACUUGAGAACUGAAAAUCUUCAGUUGGCCACUCUUUCGAAUGAAGUCCAAAUGGAUUUCGUUAGAAAUUUUACUUAUUCAAGAGAAUGGUCAAUCUAGGAGCAUACACCAGCGAGGAUCUCAUUGGAAAGGCCUUCAAGCCUCAGUUGUAGUUUCUAUAAGUGGGGUGGGGGUGGGGGGAGCUUUGAGCCACACCUCAUUGGUCCUCUGUGAUUGUACAUAGCCAGCUCUCUGAUAAACUACUCCAACUGCAAGUUCACCUGUCCGUAUCUACCAUCCCCUCUGCCAACUCACCUGUCUGCUCAUCUCCACUGAGCUAAGCCACAACUGAGAAAUCACGUCUGCUGACAAACCAGCAGGCCACACAUCCGCAGCUAUGGGCCCUGCCUUCUUAAGUGCUGGGAUUUGGAGCAGGGCCUUGCAAAUGCUAGGCACGUGCAGUCUCACUGGCUUUAUCCCCAACCCCUUCAUCUCCAAUCUUCUCACUCCGAGAAGUGCUUGCCUGUUGCCACUUCAGUUUUCCAAGCUAGGCCACAAGCGUGCUAGAUCUUUAGCCAUCUGUAUAGCUAACCCUCUCAAGCAGAGGUAAAGCCACCUUUAGCACCACGUGGUUAUACUCCAGUUCAAUCACUUGAGUUAUAUAUAGAAUUUGUUAUCCCCCUUGAAUCAAUUAGGAAAAUGCGGUUCAUCUCAGGAAUUUGCCAUCCAUGAAAGUAUUCUAUGGAGCAUAACUAAAGUCCUGGAGGUAACUGCAAAUGAAAGUAUUAUACUUACUCCCAUUAAACU